UUCGCCCGAAACGUCUAAAUCCAUAACCCUAGUUUCUUCUGAUUUCUUAAAAGAAAAAAAAAUGUUUCGUUCUCUCUGCAAUACACUGAUCCGAAACAGGGUUCGUACUGGAGGAGAUUCAAAGCCGCUUUCUCUGUACGUGCUUCAUAUAAAGGUCAGAUCCAUUUCUUCAUCUUCUUCUUCGAUUGAAGUUUCUUACUUGAUAAAUUCCUGUGGAUUAUCAGAAACCCAAGCAAAAUCCGCAUCAAAGAAACUCCAAUUCGAACCCAUAUCGAAUCCAAACUCAGUUCUUACUUUCCUUGAAUCUCACGGAUUCAGUAAAACCCACAUCACAAAAUUAAUCACCAAGAAUCCAGUAAUCCUUUUAUCAGAUCCUCACAAAACCCUUAAACCCAGAUUUGAUUAUUUAUUAUCUAGAGAUAUUACUGCUAUUGAACUUGCAAAUGUCUUAUCUACUAACCCACGGAUUCUAAAUAGAAGUAUUGAAAGACAUUUCAUUCCAUUUUUCAAAUUCGCCAAGAAGAUUGUUGGUACUGACAGAGAUGUAUUCCGCAUUCUGCAAAGAACGUGUAUUCCUGCGGACGUGGACGAUAAAUUGAGGAUCAACAUACAGCUUUUGAGAGAUGAAGGCGGUGAUGAAUCGAAAAUUGUCAAGUAUUUAAUCAACCAACCGAGGACAUUUAUGAUGGAGACUAAAAAAUUUAAGGGCAUUCUGGAAAAGGUUAAGGGUAUGGGUUUUAAUCCUAGAAAAUAUGCAUUUCUUAGUGCUAUUCAUGUAACCGCAUCAAUGAGUAAAUCGACAUGGGAAAAGAAGUUGAAUGCGUAUAGGAAAUGGGAUUGGUCAGAAGAACAGAUUGAAUUUGCAUUUAUGUUGAAUCCUUGUUGUAUGAGGCAUUCGGAGAAGAAGAUAUCAGGGACUAUGGAUUACCUUGUGAAUCAAAUGGGUAUUAGUUCAUCGCUUAUUGUUAGAUGCCCUAUGAUUUUGAAUUAUAGCCUGGAGAAGAGGAUUAUGCGCAGAUGUUCUAUUUAUCGAAGUUUAGUCUCUAAGGGUCUCAUUGAUAAGGAUCAAAUUCACAUAUCUUCGCUUGUAGCCAUGUCAGAGGAGUCGUUCUUGAACAAGUUUGUGCUCGAGUAUUUGGAACCGGAGCUAUCAAAGUGAAACAGGUGAAAUUGAAUGAAAAGGAGGAUUCUAGCACAAGACGUCAAGCUCAUAGGUGUUGCUGAAGCAGCAAAGUUGAAGACUAAUUGCAUGGCAGCGGAGCUCUGUUAUUCCUUCUGUAUUACGUAUCUCUUUGCUGGAAAACUUGAAUUCACAGUGGUACUCUGUUCAGUUCUGGCAAAUAUUACCUUAUGCAGUCACCAGGGCCAAAUGGAAAGAAUGACGACGGUUAUUGUUUCUUAGUGCAAAGAUUCUUUCCAUGUUCAUGACUUUCUCUGUGAUGUUUGGUCUCAAAUUAUGACUCAGAUUGAAUGCCAAUGCUUCAUGUGCUAGGCAGUGCAGAAACUGUAAAUGAUUUGCUGAGAGGAACUCCUUCCAUCAGAAUUUUGAAAGAAACAAAGUGUGUGUCUCAGACAGAGAGAGAAUCAAGACUCAAGAACUUGUUAAAUUUAGAAUUUAGUCCGUCAGAGAAAAAUGGAGUGGAAAAAAUGUGAAGAUGAUUUCUUCGGUUGUGAUAGUAAAUGUUGCGAAUGUUCGCAGAGAAGAGUUCCGCAUCCGGCAAAACCUGUUACAUUCGAGAAAACCGGUUAUGUAGCGUGUUUCACUGACUGUGUUAAUCGUCAGGAUUUUUUUUUUCAAAUUCCAAACUGUCUUCCUCCUUAACAGAGUUGAUGGGAUAUCACUAAGCUAUGAUCUGGAUGUGUACAAAUUUUAUCCUUUUUUCCCCUCGUAGGGGUCGAACCCCUGACCUGCUUAAGAGGUGGAUGGAAGACGCACAAUCUCUAUAGCAAAUGUUUACAUUCCCAAAAUCGAUAAAUUCCAAAACCCUAUAACUUCUCUAAUCCUUCCAUUGAUUUGUUCAACAAUGUCUCCUUCCGUAUGCAAUGGAGAAAAUCCAAAACCCCAUUCUCUAUGCUCAGAUCUUACAUCCCAAAACCCUUCUUCUUCUUCUUCAUUUGUGGUGUCUUACUUGAUGAAUUCAUGUGAAAAACAAGCUCUCAUUGCUUCUAAGAAUCUUAAUUUCGAAACCGCAUCAAAUCCAAGAUUACGGGUUUACUAAAUCAGACAUCUCCAAAAUCAUCAGUAAGAAUCCACUACUUCUAAUGUGUAAUCCUCAUAAAACCCCAAAUUCGAUUAUUUCGAUUCAAACUAGAGAUUUAGAAAACCAUAUCAUUCCUUUUUUCGAUUUCGUCAAGAAGAUCGUGGGUGCUGACAAAUAUCUGUUUCCGGUUUUCAGACGCUCAAAGAAUUCUGUAGAAUUGAUCGAGAGAGCGAUGCUCAACAUACAGGUUUUGAGAGAUGAAGGUGUCCCUCAAUCAAAUAUUGUCAAGUUUCUAAUCAACAGACCGACGACACUAAUGACUAGCACUGUUAGAUUUAAGGAGAUUCUGCAAGAGAUUAGAGGAAAUGGGGUUUAUCAGAAGAACAAAUUCAACAUGCAUUUAUGUUGAGUCCUUUUUCUAUGAUGCACUCUGUAAAGAAGAUAAGCUCCAUCAUGGAUUAUCUUGUGAAUCGAAUGGGUAUUAGUUCAUCGCAUAUUGCCAAAGUGCCAACUGUUUUGCUUGGAGAAGAGGAUCAUACCUAGAUGUUCUGUUUAUCGAAGUUUAGUCUCUAAGGGUCUCACAAUUGAUGGUCAAUUUCACAUAUAUCCAUUUCUAGCCAUGACCGAUGAAUGGUUCUUUGAUAAGUAUGUGAUCAAGUAUGAGGAAGAAGCUCCGGAACUUAUGAAGAUCUAUAAGCAAGCAUUUAAUGGGCGAGUCAUGGAUGAAGGCCUGCAAGGUAGUCCUGUGUAGUAUGAAGAGGAGGAUAAGUCUGAGGAGGAAGAAGAGAUUGCUGCCGUCCCCUUGGAUGAGAAAGUAGUAGAUGAUAGUCAAGCAAGUGUGCUCCAGAAGAAAGUUGGUUUAGGUGCGGUAGAAGAAUCGGAGAAAGCUAAAAGGCCUAAGAAGGUUAUGAAAAAGAUAAAGAAAAAGAAGGUUAUCAUUUUAGCUUUCUCCGAUUCUUCUACCGCACCUAAACCAACUUUCUUCUGGAGCACACUUGCUUGACUAUCAUCUAAAAAAAUUAGAAGAAUUAGAGGACGACCAAUUUAGUGCAAAGAAGAAAGAAAAGGAUAAGGCUAAGAAAGAAGAAGAAGAGAUGGUUGUUGUCUGUAUGGCUGGGAAAGAGUUAGAAGAUAGUGAAUCAAGUGUGCCCAAGAGGGUUGGUAUAGAUAAGGUGGAAGUGUUGAAGAAAGCCAAAGGGCCCAAGGAGGCUUUAGAAAAAAAGUUAAAGAAAAAAGUAGCAGAAGUGCAAGAUAGUGGAACGAUCAAGUCUGUCGCAGAAGCUUCUGGGCUGUUGCAGGAAUCUGAUUGCGUGUCAUGGAGGACUCACAAAGUGCUGUUUGUCCAGAAAGGGAUGCAGAGAGUGUAGCUUCCCUACCUAAGGUGGCAAAGGUGGUUGACAAAAGUCCAGCCGGCAAACCUAAGAAGAAAGCUUCAUCGAGUGAUCUCGUGGAACAAGAGGAAGAGUUGAAGAAGAUAGAAGAGACGAAGAAAGCCAAAAAACCUAAGAAGCUUUUAAAAAAGCCAAAGAAAGAAGUGGAGGAUGUGCAAGUUAGUGUUGCGGAAAAAGAAGAGGAGGAUGAUUCCAAGGAGGAAGAAGAAAUUGUUAGUGUCCCUAUCAUCGGGAAAAUAUUCGAGGAUAGUUACUCAAGUGUGCUCAAGAGGAAACUUGUUUUAAAUACUGUGGAAGAAUUAAAGAAAGUCAAAAGAGUUGAGAAACGUUUGAAAAAGUCAAAGAAAAAAGUAGAGGAAGAGCAAUGUAGUGGUGCGAAGAAGGAUGAACAUGAAAAGUCUAAGGAACAAGAUGAGGUUGUUGAUGUUUCUAUGGUUGAGAAAGUGUUAGAAGAUAGUCAAGCAAGUGUGCUCGAGUGUAAAGUUUCUUUAGAUGAGGUGGACAAGUCCAAGAAAGCUAAAAAAAUUAAGAAGGCAUCGAAAAAGCAAGAGCGAUAGGCUAAUGAAGUGCAACGUAGUGCUGCCAUCAAGUAUGAUGUAGAAGUCCCUGAGCUGUUGCAGGCAUCUAAUAGGCCUGUCAUGGGAGACUCACAAAAUGAAGAAGCAACUUUAAGGAAAGUUGUUGUAUUAAGGGCUACAGAAUGUUUAGCAGGCCUACUAAAGGAGGCAAAAGUGGUUGUCAAAACUCAAGAUGGCAAACCUAACAAGAAAUCUUCAGUGAUCUUGUGAAACAAGAGGAAGAGUUGUGGAAGGAGGAAGUAUCGAAGAAAGCCAAAAAACGUAAAAAGGAUUUGAAGAAGAUAAAGAAAAUAGUGGACGAGGUGCAAGGUAGUGCUCCUGAGCUGUUGCAGGAAUCUGAUAGCCGUGUCAUGGAGGACUCACAAAUUGAAGAAGUAGCACUUUGUCCAGAAAGGGAUGCAGAGAGUGUAGCUGCCCUACUUAAGAUGUCAAAAGUGGUUGACAAAAGUCAAGGCGGCAAACCUAAGAAAAAAGCUUCAUCGAGUCAUCUUGUGGAACAAGAGGAAGAGUUGAAGAAGAUAGAAGAAAUGAAGUAAGCCAAAAAACUUAAGAAGGUUUCCAGAAAGGCAAAGAAACAAGUGGAGGAUGUGCAUGAUAGUGUUGCGAAGCAGGCAGAGGAGGAUAAGUCUGAGGAAGUAGUUGUUGCCGUCCCUAUCACCGAGAAAACAUUGGAAGAUAGUCAUUCAAGUGUGCUUAAGAGGAAACUUGUUUUAGAUACCGUGGAAGAAACGAAGAAAGUCAAAAGAGCUAAGAAACUUCUGAAGGAAGUCAAGGAAAAAAGUUGUGGAAGAGCAAUGUAAUGCUGCGAAGAAGGAAGAGCAUGAUAAAUCUAAGGAAGAAGAUGAGGUUUCUGUUGUUUCUAUGGUUGAGAAAGUGGUAGAAGAUAGUCAAGCAAGUGCGCUGAAGCGUAAAGUUUCUUUAGCUGAGGUGGAAGAGUCAAAGAAAGCUAAAAAAGUUAAGAAGGUAUUGAAAAAGCGAGAGAAAAAAGCUAAUGAAGAGCAAGGUGGUGUCUCCAUCAAGUAUGACGUAGAAGUCCCUGAGCUGUUACAGGAAUCUGAUAGCCGUGUCAUGAAGAACUUAGAAAGUGAAGAAGUAGCUUUUUGUCCAGAAAGGGAUGCAGAGAGUGUAGCAGCCCUAUCUAAGGUGGCAAAAGUGGUUGACAACAGUCAAGGCGGCAAACCUAAGAAAAAAGCUUCAUUGAGUUAUCUUGUGUAACAAGAGGAAGAGUUGAAGACGAGAGAAGAAACGAAGAAAGCCAAAAAACUUAGAAGGUUUUGAAAAAAGCAAAGAAAAAAGUGGAGGAUGUCCAAGGUAGUGUUGCGAAGAAGGAAGAGGAGGAUAAGUCUGAGGAAGUAGUUGUUGCUGUCCCUAUCAUCAAGAAAAUAUUAAAGGAUAGUCAUUCAAGUGUGAUCAAGAGGAAACUUGUUUUAGAUACCGUGGAAGAAGCAAAGAAAGUCAAAAGAGCUAAGAAACUUUUGAUAAAGUCAAAGAAAAAAGUAAGAGCAUGAUAAGUCCAAGGAAGAAGAUGAGGUUGCUGCUGUUUCCAUGGUUGAGAAAGUGUUAGAAGAUAGUCAAGCAAGUUCGCUGAAGAGUAGAUGAAAGCUCAAAAAAAUAAGAAGGUACUGAAAAAGCAAGAAAAAAAAGCUAAUGAAGUGCAGGGUAGUGCUGCCAUCAAGUGUGAUGUUGAAGUCCAUGAGCUGUUGCAGGAUGCUUAGAAUUCAGAAGACCACAAUGUUGUUAAGAGCCAAGGAUAUACUGAAAGUGGAUGAUAUUACUCGAGAUAGCUUCUCUUUUUUUUCCUGGUUGUGCAUAAAUUGAUCAUCUUUGUAAUUCUAGAUUUUGCUGGCUAUCUACUUGACCACUCAGUAUGUGGAUUUAUAGAAAUCCUACUAGUGAUGAGAUAUCAAACGUUCUUGUCUUCAUAGCUAAACUUAAAUACUAUCGUGGAAUGUUGAGUGCUGAGUCACGUAACGCAGGCAUUGGUUUGAUGUUGUGCAACAGAACAGGUGAGAUUAAACAAAAAGGAAGGUUCUAAUACAAGGCAUCAAAGCUCAUAGGAAUUCAGUGUGCUAGGAGAUGUUGCUGCAGUACUCUUGCCAGCAAAAUUGAAGACGAACUGCAUGGCAUCGGAGCUCUUGUUAUUCCAUGGUUUUUACACCUUUUUGCUGGAAAGCACAAAUUUACAGUGGUACUAUGUUUUGGCUAGAAGAAGCAUGAAUUAGAUUUGGCAAGAAUGACGUCAUUACAGGGACUCAUGCUGUUGUCUUUUUUAAGAUAAUUUGCUUGGUUU